GACGAACGCUGGCGGCGUGCCUAAUACAUGCAAGUAGAACGCUGAAGGAGGAGCUUGCUUCUCUGGAUGAGUUGCGAACGGGUGAGUAACGCGUAGGUAACCUGCCUGGUAGCGGGGGAUAACUAUUGGAAACGAUAGCUAAUACCGCAUAAGAGUAGAUGUUGCAUGACAUUUGCUUAAAAGGUGCAAUUGCAUCACUACCAGAUGGACCUGCGUUGUAUUAGCUAGUUGGUGGGGUAACGGCUCACCAAGGCGACGAUACAUAGCCGACCUGAGAGGGUGAUCGGCCACACUGGGACUGGGACACGACCCAGACUCCUACGGGAGGGAGCAGUAGGGAAUCUUCGGCAAUGGACGGAAGUCUGACCGAGCAACGCCGCGUGAGUGAAGAAGGUUUUCGGAUCGUAAAGCUCUGUUGUAAGAGAAGAACGAGUGUGAGAGUGGAAAGUUCACACUGUGACGGUAUCUUACCAGAAAGGGACGGCUAACUACGUG
rnacentral:rRNA from 1 species